GUCCAAAACGCGUUUCGCCUGAUAUACAGGCUUCCUCAGUUGGCUCUAUGAUGUUCCGUUCUUGCCUUUCUAUAGAACUGAGGAAGCCUGUAUAUCAGGCGAAACGCGUUUUGGAC